rnacentral:lncRNA from 1 species
UAAUAACUCCAUGGCAGACAUCCACACGACCUUCAGAAACACUUUAUAGACACCAAAGCAUCAAACAACUGGUUAGUCGGGGAUCUUUUUACAGAAACAGAAAGCUGUAUAAUAGUGAUACAAGGUAAUAAAAAACUACAUGACAAACUAUAGAAAAUAUAUACUAAAGGACAGCACAUUGACAAAUGACACAUGUAGGAAAUGCCACAUAGCACCCGAAACAAUUCACCACAUUACAUCGGAUUGCAAGCUGCUUGCACGAACAGGUUACCUGCAUAGACACAACCAAGUAGCAAACAUCAUACACCAAAAGCUUGCAACCAAACAAAUUAAUAAACACACUCGUAC